GACGAACGCUGGCGGCGUGCUUAACACAUGCAAGUCGAACGAAGUGGCGAACGGGUGAGUAAUACGUGGGUAACCUGCCCUCCUUUUUGGGAUAAGCCUUGGAAACGGGGUCUAAUACCGAAUAAAGGGGGAUGGGCUGGAGGCCUAUCAGCUUGUUGGUGGGGUGUUGGCCUACCAAGGCGGUGACGGGUAGCCGGCCUGAGAGGGUGACCUGCCACAUGGGGACUGGGAUACGGCCCAGACUCCUACGGGAUGCAGCAGUGGGGGAUAUGGCACAAUGGGCGAAAGCCUGAUGCAGCGACGCCGCGUGGGGGAUGAAGGCUUUCGGGUUGUAAACCUCUUUCGCUAUCGAAAGUUUCUUUUUCCCCGAAGCGCCGGCUAACUACGUGCCAGCAGCCGCGGUACUUC
rnacentral:rRNA from 1 species